AAAAAAAAAACAAACUAGAUUAAAUUAAAGUUUUGAAAAUAAUUAAUUUUAACUUUUACUAAUAAUGAACGUCUUGUUUUAGCUAACCAUUUGAAUUAAAUAGGCAGUGAGCGACUCUUCACUCAAAAAAAUAAUUACAAAUUCUAAUUGUUCUAUUUUUUAACAAUUGGGGUAUUGUUCUAUUUUUAAUGAUAGAUGGUUUUAAAAAGCAUGUUUUUCGGUUUUAAAUUAAAAGUUAACUUAUAAUAUUAACGACUAAAAAUACUAUUAUUUUAAUUUUAAUCAAUAAAUUCUUAGUUUAAUCAUUUAUAAAUUAAUGUAUUGUGUUUGACAAAUUUUCUUUUAAUAUAUAUAACACUUAAACAAGAACAUUCUAGAAUUAAAAUGUUCUUCAUAUUUAAAAAUAACUGCUAAUAUUAUUGUCUAGAAAUAAAGCAUAUACUUUCAAACACAAUUUCGUUUAUACAAUAUUAAUAUUAUUAUUAUUAAUAUUAUUAUUACUAUUAUUAUUUAUGCCGUAAGCGCGUUUUAAACUAUGACAAUUAAAACAUGAAUGCUCACAUUAAAAUAAAAACAUGAAUUCCUCAGAUAACCUUUCCAUUAGUCAUAUUACUUACACACUUCGCUUUUUUUACCUAUCUCCCACCAGAUCCAGCAAGACUAAGUUAGAUCAGACCGACGACACAAACUAACCAAAACCAAAUCAAACCAAAUCGAACAAGACCAAAAAUCAUGACAAAUUAGGUCAGACCUACAACAGAUGUCUUAAAAAAUAUUUGGAUUUCGAAUUUACAAAAGUGCAAACUAGUUUCUAAUUUUUAUCCAAAAUCUGAUCCAAUUAUUUGGAUCCAAAAUUAAUUUGGAAAGGAUCUUCAUAAAUCCAAUCCAUGUUCAUCCCUAAAAAUAAUUGCAGAGCCCUCAGAACAACGAAUUCAAACCCCGAAUCCAAUUUCAACACAGUGGUUUCAUUUAUAGCCUUCACGCACCACCAGAAAAAAUAAAUAAAUAAAUAAUAUAUAAAUAAAUAAAUAAAUAAAAUGUUCGAGCAAACUUGUAGGUUCCCGAGAGACAGAGAGAAAAAGUAAUGGUGCAGGCCCGGUUAUAAACAAAACCAGAUAGCACUUAAUAUAGUCUUACCAUCAUUGGGCAGCUGCAACAAAUAGCAUAGUAGGCAGUUACUAUAAUCUUUAAGAUAAGAUUAAGAGCAAAACGUUUUAGAUGUAGAUAUAUUUACAGUAGUGAAACACACAAAACACGUAAACCAAAUAAGAAGUUUGAUUUUACAAAUCCUUCAGAUUUCAUAGCUUACAAUACAGUCAUUUGAAGCAUUUAUCAUAACUUACACAACCAUAUCUUUCCUUGAAAAUGUAGCAUCAUGGCCAUUGCACAAAAGGGGAGGAGAAAUAAAUUAUUUACUUAAAACUGCACAAAAAGAUGAAGGAUAUGCUAAAGAAAAAUGGAGAGGUGCCUUCUACUUCUUUGUAUGCAAUGCACCCAAGUUAAUGCCUUCCACUUUCCUUGCUUAUAGAGGGAGUACCAUGCAAGUUAAUUAUAAAAUUACAAUUGGAAAAGAGGAUUGGUCGAUCAUUUACAGUACAGAAACAAAGUGAGAAAAGAAUGUGAGUGCAAGAUGUUACGUGAAGAAAACAUUGUUCCCACCUCCUGUUGGUACUCCUCUUGGUCAACCUCCUAUUACUCAGUCUAUUGAAUAAGGGCAAUAUGGAUAAAAUUUUGUUACCCAGAUAAUUUAGAUACAAAUGCAUACAUACUAAUUUAUAAAUAUCAUAGGGAGAUUUCCCGUAAAAAAUAACUAUUCAAACCAGAUGUUAGAAUAGAAAUAAAUGAAGAAAACUGAACGUACUCAAAUUUCAUAAAUUAAAAAAAAAAUACGAUCAGAAACUUUUGUUACAGAUUCACAUACCAAAUCACAGUCAUCCGGCAACGAUCCAACAGAAAACACACAUACAGAACUAAUAUGGGUUCAAAAACAACAACACAAUGGCACGGAAAGAGAAAAGAAAAGAGAGAUAGAGAUACAUAUCAGGUUUUGAUCCAAAACCGUGAAGUCAUUCAGCAAUGCUUUUGUGCAUCCUAAGCAGGCUAUCAGACAAUUUGCUGUAUGUCAAGACUUGUAUUCAGACUAAAUUUCCUACUUCCACCAAGGAAAGUAAGAAAUCAACUUUCUAAGUAAAAUACAAAUGUUAAUGAAAAUCAAAGAACUCAAAAAUUAACUUAUCAAUAUAAGAGUAUAUACCAAGGUUCAAAAAUUAAGCAACAAAUUGUUUCCAGAUAACAUCAAAUACAAGGAAGAAUAUAAAAAAAGAAAAAGGUCACAAGUAGACUCAUUACUUCAGUUUAACAAUAAGUAAUUGUAAUUAAAACAAUAUUCCAAAAUGCAUCAAAACAAAAGAAAUAUAGGAAAACCAAAAGGCAAUAAAAGCCAAAAGCUAACAGUCAGAGGCAUGUGAAAAAAUGUAUAUAUUAUGUGCUUGUAUGAAAUGAACGACACCAUAAGCAAAGGAACGGAUAAAUUUGCUAAUAGAUCCUCAUUUUUAGAUAUGGUAGUCAGACAUAGCUUUCUAGGCUAAGCAAUUCCAUCAAAAACGCAGUUUAAACCGCAGUGCAGUUAAAUCUGCUCAGAGCCCAGUGCGUAUCAUCAUUCACUCAACAAGACAAUACAUCAUCGAAGCAAAAUAUAAAAGAGAAAACAAAAAAAAAAAACAUAAUAAACAAUGAAGUAGAGAAUUAAAAAAAAAUGCAAAAGCCCUCAGAUCUCAUAGCUUAAUUCCAAAUCAUCUACAGCUUUUGUCACACGAUUCGUUCACAGCCUCUUGCAUCCUCCCACACACGCACACAUAGCACACACACAUAUAUAUACACAAUCACACACGCGCACACACACACACAGAAAGAGAGAAGGAGAGAGAGGGAAAGGAACAGAUCCGGAUGUGAACGGAACCGUGUAGCUGCUCACAAUCUAUGUAUGCAUCAUUGGGCAAGAUGUUUGAAAAAAAAAAAAAAAACACAAUCAAAAUAAAGGAGUCACAAAAAGAAUACAAAUGCAAUAAGAACAAAAUACAAGUUACUCCAAGCAUCAUAGCAUACAACGAACUUAAACAUUAAAAUCUUCAUGCGAUUGUCAAAAAUGGAGAAAGAAACAAAACACACUGCAGAAUGCAUAAAUAAUGCCAAAAAAAUGGGCGAAAAACGAAAUUCGCAAUAAUCAUGAAACAGUGUUCAACGCAUAC
rnacentral:lncRNA from 1 species